rnacentral:rRNA from 1 species
UACAGAGGUCCCAAGCGUUGUUCGGAUUCAUUGGGCGUAAAGCGCGCGUAGGCGGCCCGGUAAGUCCGCUGUGAAAGUCAAAGGCUCAACCUUUGAAUGUCAGCGGAUACUGCCGGGCUAGAGUCCGGAAGAGGCGAGUGGAACUCCUGGUGUAGCGGUGGAAUGCGCAGAUAUCAGGAAGAACACCAACGGCGAAGGCAGCUCGCUGGGACGGAACUGACGCUAAGGCGCGAAAGCGUGGGGAGCGAACAGG